GGGGCUAUAGCUCAGUCGGUUAGAGCGCACCCCUGAUAAGGGUGAGGUCACAAGUUCGAUUCUUGUUAGCCCCA
rnacentral:tRNA from 1 species